rnacentral:tRNA from 2 species
GGCAGAGUGCCAGAGUGGUUAAUGGGUGUGACUCGAACUGUCGAAAUUCGAUCGCUAUCACAUGGCUUCGGCCGCAUGAGUUCAAAUCUCAUCUCUGUCG